rnacentral:rRNA from 1 species
ACUUAAAUUGAAGAGUUUGAUCAUGGCUCAGAUUGAACGCUGGCGGCAGGCCUAACACAUGCAAGUCGAGCGGUAGCACAGAGAGCUUGCUCUCGGGUGACGAGCGGCGGACGGGUGAGUAAUGUCUGGGAAACUGCCUGAUGGAGGGGGAUAACUACUGGAAACGGUAGCUAAUACCGCAUAACGUCGCAAGACCAAAGUGGGGGACCUUCGGGCCUCAUGCCAUCAGAUGUGCCCAGAUGGGAUUAGCUAGUAGGUGGGGUAACGGCUCACCUAGGCGACGAUCCCUAGCUGGUCUGAGAGGAUGA